rnacentral:sRNA from 2 species
GCAAGGGAAUCGCAGCAACCGCUACGGCAGGAGCGGGGGAACCAGGUAAGCGCCGUGCCGCGAACCGCGGCCGGCUUGGGGUGAAGCCACGCCCACGCGCCACGGGCGCCACGGGAGUGGCCGGGCUGCUCCAGUCCGAAUCCGACAGCUCACCUCGCAGGCGCAGGAGAGGAAACAC